UACGUAGGGUGCAAGCGUUGUCCGGAAUUAUUGGGCGUAAAGAGCUCGUAGGCGGUUUGUCACGUCUGCUGUGAAAACUGGAGGCUCAACCUCCAGCUUGCAGUGGGUACGGGCAGACUAGAGUGUGGUAGGGGAUACUGGAAUUCCUGGUGUAGCGGUGAAAUGCGUAGAUAUCAGGAGGAAUACCUAUGGCGAAAGCAGGUAUCUGGGCCAUCACUGACGCUGAGCUGCGAAAGCUAGGGGAGCAAACAGG
rnacentral:rRNA from 1 species